CCUACGGGAGGCUGCAGUGGGGAAUAUUGGACAAUGGGGGCAACCCUGAUCCAGCCAUGCCGCGUGUGUGAAGAAGGCCUUCGGGUUGUAAAGCACUUUUGUACGGGAAGAAAUCGUUUGGGUUAAUACCCUGAGCGGAUGACGGUACCGUAAGAAUAAGCACCGGCUAACUUCGUGCCAGCAGCCGCGGUAAUACGAAGGGUGCAAGCGUUACUCGGAAUUACUGGGCGUAAAGCGUGCGUAGGCGGUUUGUUAAGUCAGAUGUGAAAUCCCCGGGCUCAACCUGGGAAUGGCAUUUGAUACUGGCGAGCUAGAGUACGGUAGAGGGUGGUGGAAUUCCCGGUGUAGCGGUGAAAUGCGUAGAGAUCGGGAGGAACAUCGGUGGCGAAGGCGGCCACCUGGACCAGUACUGACGCUGAGGCACGAAAGCGUGGGGAGCAAACAGGAUUAGAUACCCCGGUAGUC
rnacentral:rRNA from 1 species